rnacentral:lncRNA from 1 species
GCAGGUAGACUCGAUCAGUAUUAAAUCACCCAUCAGGUAAAGGCUAGUUUCAACUCAGGAAAAUUAUCCGUGGAUUGGAACGCACAAGAAAAUUUUUCUUUGUGUUGUGAGCUCUGGGUUGGAACUAAUGACUUCAACACAAAGAGAAAUUUUCGUGCCCGUUCCAAUCCAUGGAUAAUUUUCCGGACUGGAAAUUAGCCUUAAAU